rfam:Skermanella aerolata KACC 11604 strain 5416T-32 contig27, whole genome shotgun sequence.
ACCCGAAUCCGGGCCCCUCUGGUAGGUGGGUCGCCACCUAUGAUGUCGGAUUCCUUCA